rnacentral:rRNA from 1 species
GAUGAACGCUAGCUACAGGCUUAACACAUGCAAGUCGCGGGGCAGCAUGGGGGUUGCUUGCAAUCCCCGAUGGCGACCGGCGCACGGGUGAGUAACGCGUAUUCAACCUGCCCUUCACCACGGGAUAACCCGGCGAAAGUCGGACUAAUACCGUAUGUUGUCCAUUGACGGCAUCCGAUUUGGACGAAAGGCUUGGCGGUGAGGGAUGGGGAUGCGUCCGAUUAGCCAGACGGCGGGGUAACGGCCCACCGUGGCUACGAUCGGUAGGGGUUCUGAGAGGAAGGUCCCCCAGACUGGAACUGAGAAACUGUCCAGACUCCUACGGGAGGCAGCAGUGAGGAAUAUUGGUCAAUGGGCGUAAGCCUGAACCAGCCAAGUAGCGUGCAGGAUGACGGCCCUAUGGGUUGUAAACUGCUUUUAUGCGGGGAUAAAGUGGCCCACGUGUGGGCUUUUGCAGGUACCGCAUGAAUAAGGACCGGCUAAGUCCGUG